UACGUAGGGGGCAAGCGUUGUCCGGAUUUAUUGGGCGUAAAGAGCGUGUAGGCGGCCAUACAGGUCAGCUGUGAAAACUCGAGGCUCAACCUCGAGACGUCGGUUGAAACCGUAUGGCUAGAGUCCGGAAGAGGAGAGUGGAAUUCCCGGUGUAGCGGUGAAAUGCGCAGAUAUCGGGAAGAACACCCGUGGCGAAGGCAGUGGGCUGGGCCGGCACUGACGCUGAGGAGCGAAAGCGUGGGGAGCGAACAGG
rnacentral:rRNA from 1 species